rnacentral:rRNA from 1 species
CGGACGGGUGAGUAAUGUCUGGGAAACUGCCCGAUGGAGGGGGAUAACUACUGGAAACGGUAGCUAAUACCGCAUAACGUCGCAAGACCAAAGAGGGGACCUUCGGGCCUCUUGCCAUCGGAUGUGCCCAGAUGGGAUUAGCUAGUAGGUGGGGUAACGGCUCACCUAGGCGACGAUCCCUAGCUGGUCUGAGAGGAUGACCAGCCACACUGGAACUGAGACACAGUCCAG